rnacentral:rRNA from 1 species
UACGUAGGGGGCAAGCGUUGUCCGGAUUCAUUGGGCGUAAAGAGCGUGUAGGCGGCCAGAUAAGUCCGCUGUGAAAUCUCGAGGCUCAACUUCGAGCUGUCGGUGGAAACUAUCUGGCUAGAGUCCGGAAGAGGAGAAUGGAAUUCCUGGUGUAGCGGUGAAAUGCGCAGAUAUCAGGAAGAACACCCGUGGCGAAGGCGGUUCUCUGGGACGGUACUGACGCUGAGACGCGAAAGCGUGGGGAGCGAACAGG